GGGGGAAUGUUUUUUUUUUUGCCAUUAGAGAUCUUGUUUUGAUGAUCCUUUGUUUCUUACAGUUUCCCUUCAUCCACUAAAGUUUUCGCAAAAUAACUGAAAAUGGUUAAUAAUUAUCAUCCAGGGGCAAUAACUCACACAAUGAUGGUCAACUAACUCCAAAAGCUGACACCGACUGUUUGGCUUAGAUGAGCUAAAUGGCAAUUUUGUUUAAACAUGUAUACACAUACAGAUUUUCAAAGCCAGAGUUUACAACAAUUAUAAAUAAAUCCCCGAUUAUUGACCAAUAGUUAUACAUUCUUAAGCACUGGAUUAUAAAUUGUAAGCAGGGGUUGUGUUUGGGGGCAGCCCCCUUGUGCCGAACAAUUUAGUAUAGUAAAAUUGAUGUUGAAAGUAAAUAUUUACAAGCAAUUUAGCUUUGGUUCUUUCAAAUCUGUCGGUCUGCUCCGCUAGCACUAUAUCAAAUAUUGGUUUAGUAUGGAGAAUUGAUUCUGGUAGUGGUGGGUAACAAACUUUCAUAAACCGAUCAUUGUAUAUAAAAAAAUUCGUAAGGGUCCACGGAACCGGUCUCGACUUUUUGUUAUCGCAGACUCAAAAAAAAUGACGAAAAACAUCAAUAAAAAAUUCCGCAAUACUGUCUUUGAUUGAAAGAACCUUCAAGUUUGGUAAAAAAAAUCCAGAUCUUAUGAUCUUAAAUGUUUUAAACUUUUAACUGCAGUCUGUAUGUAAUGUUAAUGAAGAAAAACUAAGUCAUUUUUAAGUAAAAUACGGAAAAUGAUUUUUUUUUUACAAAAUUUACUUCUGAUAAUAUCUUAUGAUCAGAAAUAAGCUUUGUAAGUUGGUAGAAAUCCAGGAUAGUUUAAGAACAUUAUAAAAAUUUUAAAAACUUAAACCACAGAGUGAAUGUUUUGUUUCUGGCAAAAAAAACUAAGUCCAUUUAUAAGUAAAAUACGGAAAGUGGAAAUUUAUUUUUACAAAAAUUUUCUUUUGAUACUAUCUUAUGAUCAUAAACAGCUUCUGUCCAAGUUGGUACAAAUCAAGGUUUAUGAAGUUAUUAAAUUUAAAAACUUUAACCACAGGUGAAUGUAAUGUUUCCUCGGCAAAAACUAGUCCAUUUAUAAGUAAAAAUACGGAAAAAUGGAAUUUUAUUUUUCAAAAAUUUACUUCUGGAUAUUUCUUAUGAUCAUAAACAAGCUUCUGUCCAAGUUUGGUAGAAAUUAAGUAUAGUUUAAGAAAGUUAUUUAAAAUUUCAAAAAACUUUAACCACAGAGUGAAUAUUUGUGGACGCCGCCGACGACGACGGAAUGUUGGAUCGCUUAGUCUCGCUUUUUCGACUAAAGUCGAAGGCUCGACAAUGAGAACCAUUAGCAAUAAAACACAUCUUAUUUACAUAUAAUUGACCAAAGUUUAAUUUGGUAACAAUGUAUCUCUGUCAUUUUAGUACGCGUUCUUUGUAUUUUAGUGAUACUUGCAAAUCUUUAGGCAGGAUAUUGUAUACUGUUUUUUUUUGUAUACUUUCAAAUACUAGUCUUGUUGACGGUUUCUAACGAAAUAGUUAUACGACGGGUGCCACAUGUGGAGCAGGAACUGCUUACUCUUCAGAAGCACCCGAGAUCACCCCUAGUUUUUGGUGGGGUUCGUGUUGACUAUUCUUUAACUGUUUCAGGAGGAUGUCAUGAUUCGAGAACCAGAUGCUACGCAGGGUGCAGCUUUAUAAACCCUGGACAGUUGUGGCAAGUAUGAACACAACUUUCAAGCUCGAUACAGCUCUGAAUCUGGAUUGAUUAAAAAGUUGACACAGCAAAGGUUUCCAACGAAGGAUGAAUGUUGUCCAAUGAACUUAAUAUAUUAUUUUUUUUUUUGCUUUUGAGCAAUUCACUAUGCUGUUGAAUAUUAAUCCCCUCCAAAAAAUAUUUGAAGAAAAAUGCUUUUUAAUUUCUGAAAUCUGAAUUCAAACCUUCUACUUGUGGUACAAUUUCAUACCAAUUGAAAUACUUAUAUACUUUGUGGUAUUGAUCAUUCUGAAAUUUUUUUUAUAAAGAUCUAUUUACUAGUUACUGUCCGGAAACCAAUGCCGACAUCAUACCAUUCAUUAUACGAUCCCAAAUUUUUUAGUGGUCGUAUAAAAAUGAUGCAAGAUUAACAAUUAUUUGGUCUCAUAAUUGAUGUAAGUAUCCAAGUUUAAUAGAGACAAAAAUUGAACUUUGACCAAUGCAGCAGAAACCCAUACAGCUGCUUGCAAAUUACAACUCUAGGUGAUGGUAGAAAUAUUUGCUACUGGACAUUUUGACCGGGGACUCUUGAAAUCUGUAAACCAUAAUUCAAACCCAUCCUUCAGUAGUAAAUCAAUCUUUUUGACAUGUUACAAAAUCAACGAGAAUUUAUGCCACAACAUAUUUCCACUCAAUCGCAAUUCAGAUUUGAAGUUCUCGUGGCUUACUUUAACAAUCUGUAAUUGUUCAUAGGCAUUUAAUUACAUCUGAUUUCUAUUUCAAUUUUGAAAACAGUAACAAAGACAAGGCCAUAUCAUAUAUUUGUUCAAUCCUACUGCAGCAUGCCAAUCAGGCAAACUUGUAGAGAUUUAAAGCAAAGAAGCCAAAUGCAGCAACUAAAUUAUUCGACAUCAAUGGGGAUUUGAAAACAUCUUCGACAAUUUUUUUCUUGGACGGACUUGAGAAAAACUUACAUUAUGUGUGGGGACAGAUUUAUACUAACUGCAACUUUUCAAGUUACAGUUUCAGUGACUGGUGUACAUUGUCUCUCGAUACAUAAUCUCGACACUAUUUCGUUUGCUGCUGUAUAUAAUUUUUAUAAAUCAGACUUGCAUACCUUGGUUACUUAGUCUUUUCUCGGCAAUUCAUAAUGCUGUAGGGUGUUUUUUUCUCUCAAAUUGUUGAAGGCAAAUGAGUAAAAAAUGCAAUAGGUGACUCAUCAACAUUUGGUCUGAUUUAUAGUUUUCUCUGGUAAUCACACCACAUGCACAUUGAUAAACUGAUAUUUUUUCAUUUGUUGGCGUUUAACAUCCAGCAGUAUAUAUUGCAUACAAAUGAGAACAUAUAUAGUUAUUAUAGCAGCACAAAACGACAACUAAAAUUGAGAAUGGAAAUGAGGAAUAUGUCA
rnacentral:lncRNA from 1 species